UACGGAGGGGGCUAGCGUUGUUCGGAAUUACUGGGCGUAAAGCGCGCGUAGGCGGACCUGCAAGUCGGGGGUGAAAGCCCGAGGCUCAACCUCGGAACUGCCUUCGAUACUGCGGGUCUCGAGUCCGGGAGAGGUGAGUGGAAUUCCGAGUGUAGAGGUGAAAUUCGUAGAUAUUCGGAGGAACACCAGUGGCGAAGGCGGCUCACUGGCUCGGUACUGACGCUGAGGUGCGAAAGCGUGGGGAGCAAACAGG
rnacentral:rRNA from 1 species